rnacentral:rRNA from 1 species
GAUGAACGCUGGCGGCGUGCCUAAUACAUGCAAGUCGAGCGAACAGACGAGGCUCUUGCUCCUCUGUCGUUUGCCGCGCACGGGUGAAUAACACGUGGAUAAUCCCCCUAUCAGACUGGGAUCACUUCGGGAAACCGGCUCUUAUACCGGAUAAUCUCUUGCACCGUGUUGUUCAAUAGUGAAAUUCGGUUUUUCUGUCACUUCUCGCUGCAUCCCGGCCGCAUUAGCUAGUUGUUAAGGUAACGGCUUACCAAGGCAAGCAUGCGUAACCGACGUGAGAGGGUGAUAGGCCACACAGGAACUGAGACAGGGACCAGACGCCUACGGGAGGCACCAGUAGGGAAUCGUACGCAAUGGGAGAAAGCAUGACGGAGUAACGCCGAGCGAGUGAUGAAGAUGUUCGGAUCGUAAAAAUGUGUUAUGAGGGAAGAACAAAUGUGUAAGUAACUAUGCACGUCUUGACGGUAAUGGAUAAGAAAGCAACGGCUAACUACGUG